UUUAGUUCAGUCAUGGAAAAAUGCCUGAAACAUUUGGAGACUGUUGUUGAAGCAAUUCAGAAAGCUCCCUUAAAGAGCAUGUACUUUAGACAACUUGUAAGUGUAUUCUCAAUAUCUUUAAAAGGUAAGACUUUGAAGAAUUAUAUUACCAUAUAGUAUGCCCCCACCCCAUACCACCUGAAGAAACUGUGUCAGUCUAUCAUCACAGG